rnacentral:lncRNA from 1 species
CAGGAGCAGGCUUUGCACAAACUAUCUGGUUUCAAGUUGCGACUCUCCGGAGUCCCUGGGAAGGUGCCCCAGGGACAGGGCCCCCAGGAUUGAUGAGACUCCCCCAUCCCCAGCCGCCCAGAGGAUAAGCAGGUGCCAUUGGAAGCCAGAAGAAGCCAUCAGUUCUACUGAGGCUGGAGCUACAGGUAGUCGUGAAUUGCCUGAUGUGGAUUCUAGGACGGAACUCCAGUUCUCCACAAAAGCAUCAAUUAUGUUUCUGCUUUGGAGCUUCUGGCAAGCUGUUGAAGGAGGUAUCUAUAACUACCGUGAUUCUGGACCCUACGAAGAGACGUUCAUGAUGCUUCACACAUUCCACAGUUCUUCACAGCCUGUGAACCGUCAUGCUACUAAAAGAAUGUCCACAUGAAUACUGUUGGGGGAAGUAACCACGUGAAGACUUUAGAAAAAGACCCCCUUGGGCCCAGCACAGAGCAGUGAUUUCAGCAGAACCCUGCCAGAGUGGGUUCAAGGGAUUCAUCCAAGCCUGGCACAAGAGAGCCGUUGGGUGAAAACUCAAGGAGCUGCUACAAAGUCAACUGAAGAAAUGAGUCUCGACUAAGCUUCAUUAAACUGCAAGUGGUCCUUGCUGCUCUCCCUCCCCUGUGGCCCUCACUGCAGGCUGAACUGCUUUGCACUGCAAACUCCGGUCUGAGGAGUGGAGCUGAGAAACCUAGCCAUAAGAGGAGAUGGAAAGAGGUAAGAGCCAGAGGUUAUGGAUGCCUCAAAGGAAGCAGUGUCCUCCAGACACAACAGGACUGAUGCACACAUGAGCUCACAGAGACUGUGUCAACACAAACAAGAUUUCUUUCUGGGAGGGAGGGGCUUGUUGACACCUCCCACUUAGAGCAGAGUGUGGAACUGAUAUUGUUAAUUGGCUCUAACCUGUGAGCUUGUGGCUAUUUUCUUCAAUAUAUUAUUUUAUCUUUCCUGUAAUUUUCAUAGCCUCUAAUAAAGAGUAUGUUGGAGUUUU